rnacentral:RNase_P_RNA from 1 species
CGGCAGACCGGGACGAUCGCGUUGGCAUUUUAUUGCCGCCGAGGAAAGUCCGGGCUCCUGCGGGCAGCGCAGCGGCUAACGGCCGUCCGCCGUGGGCGUAAGCCAAAAGGCGAGGACCAGUGCCACAGAGACGAUGUACAGGCUUUGUAAAAAGUGCUGUAGUGAAAAGAGGUAAACUCUGCGCGGAGCAAGAGCAAAUAGGGGACGAGAGCGCCCGCCUCGUUAGCAGUUCCGGGUUGCUUGCUUGAGCCGGACGGCAACGUCCGGCCUAGAUAAAUGAUCGUCUGCAAAACAGAACCCGGCUUACCGGGCUGCCGUAUU